UAAAAUAAAAUUAAAGGACGAGAAGACCCUAUAGAUCUUUAUUUUUGUUAUUUAUAAAUUAAAAAGAAUUUUAAAAUUUAUAAUUUAAUAAAAAAUUUUAUUGGGGUGAUAUUAAAAUUUAAAAAACUUUUAAAAUUUAUUAACAUAAAUAUAUGAAUAAAUGAUCCAGUUUUAUUGAUUAAAAAUUUAAGUUACCUUAGGGAUAACAGCGUAAUUUUUUUUUAGAGUUCUUAUCGACAAAAAAGAAACCG
rnacentral:rRNA from 1 species